rnacentral:ncRNA from 12 species
AGUUUUUGAGGACGGAACAGUUGACCGUCACCCUUGGCUAGGAGAUGUGGAAAGGUCACUCCACCUAAACUU